GGAAUUGCUAGUAAUGGCAGGUCAGCAUACUGCCGUGAAUACGUUCCCGGGCCUUGUACACACCGCCCGUCACACCAUGAGAGUUGGGAAUACCCGAAGCCUGUGAGCUAACGUUAAGAGGCAGCAGUCGAAGGUAGAAUCAAUGAUUGGGUGAAGUCGUAACAAGGUAAC
rnacentral:rRNA from 1 species